CUGUUAAACAAUAAAAAAAAAGUUUGAGACAAAUAAGGAAGAAGGAACGAGGUUAAAACUAGAUACAAAAUUUUAUAUAAAAAUAUAUGAAUUUGCACCUAAAAUCCAUGGAGCACAUAUAGAAGCAGCAAAUCUUAGCCGUUCAUCGCCGCCGAUAGCUUUCCCCUAACACUGGAACUGGAGCAAUUCACCCCAUCGGAUCAGCAACAAUGGUUCUUUGUUAAUAAUUAAGCCGAGAUAACCAAUAUUCUUUAUUUAGAUCUACUUCGAUUCCAGCAUAAGGUGGAUUUGCCUAGAGUUGUAGAUACGAUGCUUUUAUGUGAAGUAGGAAUGCCUUGGAUUGAUAGUCCGUUUAGCAUGAACAAGCGAUUAAAAAGUAAGUUUGUUGUAAAGCUUUUCGUGUGUGAUUUUCCCCUAAAAUGCACAUUAAUUAGUGACUGUUAUUGUUUAUAAAAGAUCUAUCUGCAAAUUCUUUAGUAA